CGGGACACGUGGUAUCCUGUCUGAAUAUGGGGGGACCAUCCUCCAAGGCUAAAUACUCCUGACUGACCGAUAGUGAACCAGUACCGUGAGGGAAAGGCGAAAAGAACCCCGGCGAGGGGAGUGAAAAAGAACCUGAAACCGUGUACGUACAAGCAGUGGGAGCACGCUUAGGCGUGUGACUGCGUACCUUUUGUAUAAUGGGUCAGCGACUUAUAUUCUGUAGCAAGGUUAACCGAAUAGGGGAGCCGAAGGGAAACCGAGUCUUAACUGGGCGUUAAGUUGCAGGGUAUAGACCCGAAACCCGGUGAUCUAGCCAUGGGCAGGUUGAAGGUUGGGUAACACUAACUGGAGGACCGAACCGACUAAUGUUGAAAAAUUAGCGGAUGACUUGUGGCUGGGGGUGAAAGGCCAAUCAAACCGGGAGAUAGCUGGUUCUCCCCGAAAGCUAUUUAGGUAGCGCCUCGUGAAUUCAUCUCCGGGGGUAGAGCACUGUUUCGGCAAGGGGGUCAUCCCGACUUACCAACCCGAUGCAAACUGCGAAUACCGGAGAAUGUUAUCACGGGAGACACACGGCGGGUGCUAACGUCCGUCGUGAAGAGGGAAACAACCCAGACCGCCAGCUAAGGUCCCAAAGUCAUGGUUAAGUGGGAAACGAUGUGGGAAGGCCCAGACAGCCAGGAUGUUGGCUUAGAAGCAGCCAUCAUUUAAAGAAAGC
rnacentral:rRNA from 1 species